UCCCUAACAGUUUUAAAUUCAUGCUUCUGCCACCAAACAUGAGCAAACCAGAUCCUCCAAAAGCCAUCCCUCUCCAUCUUUUUGGGAACAUCUCAGAGGAGAAGACAGAUGGAAUGAAUCACUUCUAAUGUUACAUAUGUGACUCCCAAGAUGUCAAGAGCAAAUAUAUCUAGAGUCUGACAUGAUACAUUCCUGAUUGAGCUACAGUUGGAUCUGACAUACACAUGGACUCAGGGCCUCAUUCCACUCCUAAGCAUCCUGGUGCAAUGACCAUGGAACCAGGUCUUCCUGUCAAAGAGUCUGGACAUUAUUACUGGUUCUUUCCUUGGAUCUGUGGCUAUAGGAAUUGGCUCAAGCAAAUAAGAAGACCAAGAAGUCCUCCAGCAUGCCACCUACAAGUUGGAAAACCAGAAAAGCUGAUUUGAGUCUGUGUAUAAAAUGAAAGUUCCUGUGGUCAGGAUUCUCACCUGGCCAUGGUUGACUAGCUCACUGGACACCUGUGGGCAAUACGUGGCUGUUGACUCUAUAAAAAGAGCUCUGCCCAGUGCUCUGGGCAUGACACGGUGGCAGGGCUGCAACACUACAGGAGAGCAGAGCGGAGACUGGAGUGGGCAGCGCUGAAGACAGAGAACCAGAGGACGGCUGUGCGGGAUGACUAUGCAGAGAGGCCCAGAGGAUGGCUG